rnacentral:rRNA from 1 species
UACGGAGGGUGCAAGCGUUGUCCGGAUUCACUGGGUUUAAAGGGUGCGUAGGUGGGCAGGUAAGUCAGUGGUGAAAUCUCCGAGCUUAACUCGGAAACUGCCGUUGAUACUAUUUGUCUUGAAUAUUGUGGAGGUAAGCGGAAUAUGUCAUGUAGCGGUGAAAUGCUUAGAUAUGACAUAGAACACCAAUUGCGAAGGCAGCUUACUACACAACGAUUGACGCUGAGGCACGAAAGCGUGGGGAUCAAACAGG